AGCGAACGCUGGCGGCAGGCUUAACACAUGCAAGUCGAGCGGGCCCUUCGGGGUCAGCGGCAGACGGGUGAGUAACACGUGGGAACGUACCCUUUGGUUCGGAAUAACGCUGGGAAACUAGCGCUAAUACCGGAUACGCCCUUUUGGGGAAAGGCUUGCUGCCGAAGGAUCGGCCCGCGUCUGAUUAGCUAGUUGGUGGGGUAAUGGCCUACCAAGGCGACGAUCAGUAGCUGGUCUGAGAGGAUGAUCAGCCACACUGGGACUGAGACACGGCCCAGACUCCUACGGGAGGCAGCAGUGGGGAAUAUUGGACAAUGGGCGCAAGCCUGAUCCGGCCAUGCCGCGUGAGUGAUGAAGGCCUUAGGGUUGUAAAGCUCUUUUGUCCGGGACGAUAAUGACGGUACCGGAAGAAUAAGCCCCGGCUAACUUCGUG
rnacentral:rRNA from 1 species